rnacentral:lncRNA from 1 species
UUCGUUACACUUCAAGCGUCGCCUGAACCAGUUGGACACGCCGCCGGAGAUACGAGAACGUAGCCAUCGCCAGAGUCUUACGACGGGACUUAACUCGAACCGUUUCGGUAUAGGUUCCUUUCAAUUCGGCCCUGUCAUUUAAUCCUUCAAACAGCCGCAGCCGCCGGAAUCAGAGUCGUUACAUCGGAAAUCCCUCCUGUGUGAUUCGGAUAACCAUUUCAUUCGUUUUCUUGGAUACUCUAUCUUUACUCGUGCGUUUUAACAAGAAAUCGCAACGCAACCAAUUGUUGGGAUGUUUGCGUUGGAAACUUGGGUUAAUAGACGAAGUGAUGAAGAAAUCAAGUUAGGAUGGACUAGAUACCCAUUUUAAUAAUAAACCAUGUUUGUUGCAAUUUGUCUUUAUUUGAAACAAUGUACUUGAAUUUAGUCAUUUAUGAAAUUUGAUUUAAUCUAUAUUGUAACAUUUAGUGUUAUGAUGCCUUUGAGCGAUUUGUUCGUCU